AACCUCAGCGAGGACGCUGAGUCCUGAAAGGGGGGGAGAAAUGUCCCUUAGGUAAAUCCCACAUCAGCAAAGCACGGAGAUGGUCUUUUAUUCAAAAAGUUAUGAUAUAUAAAAUGGAGAACUAAUCACUAGAGGCGCCUUUUGGUGGAAUGGCCUGAAGAGUUGGAAGAACUCCAGGGUUAAGCGUGCUCGCUUGAGAGAAAUCCUAAGAUGAGUGACCUCCUGAGAAGUUCUCCAUUUCACCUAUGGGACAAAACCGUGAGGCUUAUGGCCAAAGCGGACAAUUCCUCUAGUGGUUGGAGCCCGAUCGUUACAAAUAAUGAGCCAAAGCAACAAUUUGACCAUUUCCUUAUAUAUUGAUGAUGCUUAUACUUAGAUACCAAAUCUUGCUUGACAAAAUCCAUACUAAAAUUUUGAACUGAUUUUCUUUAGGUGUGUUAUGACUGGAGUAAGGGUGCAGAAAAUCACAACCCACAAACGGCAAAGACCUACAUCUAUCUGCAUUUGCCACAGGAGUCUGAGGUUAAAGGCAAACCACGAGUUGGAACAAGUGGUAGAAAGUAGAGCUGCAUAAUAUCAUCAGAGGAAAUAUCGCCUGUUUUUCACUUGAAAAAUGAUGCAUUAUCGCACUGUCAAUACAAGGUUUUGACUUAGGAGUUUUGUGAGUAUUGGCAGGCGUCACUGUUAGUAGAUUUGGCGAUAUAGAUGUAGGUACAUGUUUAUCUCACCUAAAUUUGGAUCCCAAUACAGUGAUCAAUGGCUUAUUGUAGCAUAGAAGUUGGCAAUUCAGCUUGACGUGUAUGGUGAGAUUUCUACAGUAGUUGGUGUCUAGGGUUGAUCUAUGCUUUGCAAGAUUCUGCAGUUUGUUUGCAAGAUUCUGCAGUUUGUCAUGAAAUCUGUUUCGCAAUUCCUUUAUCAGAAGAAAAUGCACUCAAUGAACCAAGUGGGUUUGGUGUAAUGGUGAACAGUGAACGGGCACCAUAGCUCAUAAAUUGGUCAUGUGUUCCAUCCGUGGAAUGAACAGUUUAAGAAUCCACUCAAUGAUCUUAUAGUCUUAUCUCAUGGUAGAAACUGAACCUCUCCUGUUGAGAUCUAUUAAAUAUGAUGAUUGCGUGAACUGAGGUUGUGCUUUCGUCGAUUAACAAAAAGAUGAAAAACAAUCAUUUGUUGAUCCAUGGAGCAAGGUUUUGUCUUUUGCUAGAAUGAAAAUAAAUUUGACCAUCACCAAUUGCAG
rnacentral:misc_RNA from 1 species